rnacentral:rRNA from 1 species
GAUGAACGCUAGCGGCAGGCCUAAUACAUGCAAGCCGAACGGCAAGUUGAGUAGCAAUACUUGACCUAGAGUGGCGUAAGGGUGCGUAACACGUAUGCAAUCUACCCGCAACAGGAGGAUAGCUCUCCGAAAGGGGAAUUAAGCCUCCAUGGGAUCAUGGGGUGGCAUCACUCCAUGAUUAAACUACCAGGGGUUGUGGAUGAGCAUGCGCAUGAUUAGUUAGUUGGCGGGGUAACGGCCCACCAAGACGAUGAUCAUUAGGGGAACUGAGAGGUUGA